rnacentral:lncRNA from 1 species
CGUAAACCUGUGUGACCACUACGGUGACCAGUUCCCGCUUUGAACGAACCUUCCCGCUCUCUCUCUCCGCGCUCAGUUCUGUCGGUCCUAAACGGAGACAGCUGAACCCACUGUCCGACCGUGAGUCUGAAGACAAACACAGCCUUAUUCCACCGCAGGCUGCUUUAUCUGGGCCUGUCCGAACUCCAAACAUGGCGAAGCGACGAGGGAAACUGAACCACAUGGACAUAAGAACGUUUUUGAGUCCACAAAAACGCAGAGUAAUGGAUCCUGAAGAGGGAAGUGGAGACGCCCAGUCGCAGGGAGAAGACUUGAACAACCAGGUAAGAUUUUUUUUAUCAUGAGUUUUUCUAGCCUAUUAUUACUACUUUAUAGGUCACAAAGCCAAAGAGGAAAUUGAAAAUAAGUUGCUAAAUGCCUGAUAUCUAUGGCUACAAUUUAACCUGCCCGGAGAUGGAGACAAUGCGUGCAGAAAAAUCUUAU